CAGAGAGGCAGCGGGACAGGGCUGAGGGUUGGCUACGCGGAGCUACCGGAUCGGUCCGAGAUGGCAGAGGUGGAGGAGACACUGAAGCGACUUCAGAGCCAGAAGGGCGUGCAGGGAAUCAUCGUUGUGAACACAGAAGGCAUUCCCAUCAAGAGCACCAUGGACAAUCCCACCACCACACAGUACGCCAACCUCAUGCACAACUUCAUCUUGAAGGCCCGGAGCACCGUGCGUGAAAUUGACCCCCAGAAUGACCUCACCUUCCUUCGAAUUCGCUCCAAGAAAAAUGAAAUUAUGGUUGCACCAGAUAAAGACUAUUUCCUGAUUGUGAUUCAGAAUCCAACCGAAUAAGCCGCUCUCUUGGCUCCCUGCGUCAUUCCUUAAUUUAAUGCCCCCUCAAGAAUAAUAGCAUUAAUCAUGUCAACUGACUGGCAUAUGGAAGUCACCUUAGAGCCCUCUCAGACCAAUCCGGCUGCAGCUCCACCUACCCCACCAAAGUCAUCUCUCUGCUGGCCAGUCGCACCUGAUUUUCCAGGAGGAAAAUCCCAUCCAGGUUUAUGGAGCAAGAGAUUGUGAGAAGCCCACACACCCUGUUUCCUUCUGACUUUGAGUUCACUUUGUUGCCCUUGGAAAAGGCUGUUUUUCUUUAACUAAAAAUAACCAAACCGCUUUCCCUGCUGUGUGUCUUUAAACACUAGGUUGAAAAGGCCUCCCUUCCUGUGUAAUCACGUGGUCUGAAGGCUGAGCCCGGUGCCCCCAUGGUGGAUUGUGCUCCAUACUGCACCUGUGGCCACACUUUCUGUGCUGGACCUGUUUUAUGACUGGUGUCCUGGUUUCUGGGCCUCUUGUCCCUAGCCACCCCUUUUAUCAUUUCUCACCCCCACCAAUGUUUUGAAAGGUUUUUUUUGACUACACUUAACUGGGGAAAGGAAAGGAAAGGAGUGAAAUUUGUUGAGUACCAGGUGUGGCUUAUAUCAUCCACAUAGUUCCCUACAGACGGAGUGGUAAAGCCAUCUUGAAGAUGAGGAAGUUGGGUUCUCAAGAAUGGCUUGCCUGAGGUCUCACAGCCGGGAGCACAGGUGUCUGACUCCAAAAGCUCUGCUCUUUCCACACUACCUUCCCCAGAAAUCCCAGAUGGUCUGGUUCACCCGAGUGAGCUCAUCCUGGAUAAGCAUCCACCUUCCCUUAGACUCGAGUCCUGGGGUGCGGUGGGGAUGAGGGGCUGCACCAGCCACUCAGGCUGUAGGCCACUCGUCAUCCAAACUAUGCUUGGGCCCUACCCUAGACCAAUUAAAUCAUAAUCCCUGAGAGUAAGCUCUGGGCAUCAUCAGUUUGUAAAAGCUCCCUGGACAUACAGCUAGGGUUGAGAACCACUGGCAUAGCCCUUCAUGCCCUGGUUAAGAGUACAGGAGGCUAUAGCAAAAAUAUCAUUCAGAGAUAAGAACUUCUGAAAGAUAAAAAAUGUGAAGGGAAUAAAUGCAACAGAAGAGUUGCAAGAUAAAGUUGAGAAAAUCUCCCAAAAGGUGGGGAAAAAAAUGGAAGAGAAAAGUUUAGAAGAUUAAAGGGUCAGUCCAGGAUAUUCAACAUCCGAUUAACAGGAGUUCCAGAAAGAGAAAGUGGGGUAGGAAAUUAUCAACAAGAGACUAUAAGAAUAUUUUCUAGAAGUAAGGACAUAAGUUUCCGCAUUGAAAGAUCUGAGUGUCUAGAGCAGUUAAUUUUAAAAAGACCCAUGCCAGGCCUCAUCAUCAUGAAAUCUCAGAACACUAUGGAUAGAUACGAUCCAGAGAGAGAAAAAAGAAAAACAGGGUACAAAGGAUUAGAAAUCACAACAGCACUGGGCAUCCCAACAGCAUCAUUAGAAACUAGAAGAGAAUGCCCUCAAAAUUCUGAUUAAAAAUAAUUUACAACCUAGAGUUCCAUACCCAGCCAAACUAUUAGCCAAGUGUAAGAAUAAGGUAAAUAUUUUCGGACAAUAGAAGGUCAUGUGUAUUUAUCUGCCAUGCACUGUUUCUCAGGAAGCUACCGAAGAAUGUACAUCAGAAUAAGGGAGUGAAGGAAAGAGUGUAAAGCAGAGUAUCCAGGCAAUUUGAGGCUCCAACACGAGAGAAAGUCAAAAGGGUUAUGUCAGGAUGGUGGUGAAGGGUGCUGGGUAGUAAACCUAGAAAGAAAUGCUGAAUGGGGUAGGAGGUUGUUUCCAAGAAGAAAACAAAACUGAUAGGUCAUCUCAGGUUUUUGAACACAUUCAGAGGAGAUUUUGAGCUUGAGUUUUCAGAGAAGUUUGAGAAGCCUAAACAUGCUUUGUUCAGGAGGCCUGAAAGGAAAGUCAAGGGCAGGAGGUGGGGAUUUGGGAGUCACUGUCAUGUUGGAGGCACUAAUGGGUGUGAAUGUGGACAUGACCAGGAUGACAUGAGAGGGCUGAAGAAAGCUGAGGGCCAAGGCAGGGUGAGAACGCUGAGGAGCAGCUGGAGGCUGGAAAGGCCAAGGGGAGGCAACCUCACCAGGUGACCGGCCAGCUCUAAGGGCCAGCAUCUGGGGAGGGCAGGGGCUAAGGACAUAGCAGGAGGGGAAGGGGGUGGCAACCCUGGCCCUGUCAUUCAGGGAGGUGGGGUGAGAACUGAGCACUCCUUGGCUAGAGAGAGAGAAGGGGACCAAGGGAGUGAGGCCCAGAGGAAGGAAAGGCCAGGUCCAAGGUCCCACGUGGGAAGUAAGGUUGGUGGUCAUGGCCUACACUUCCCAGUGAAUCCAGAAAGACUUCAAGGAGUAAGGGUGGGGUAGUCCCAGACAGAGGCUUGGGGACCCCUGGGUGGGUUUCAGAUCCUCCAAUCUCUGGAGAAUUCCAUUUAGAGUUCUGCAAACAGGAACAACCAACCCUUACUCAAAGAUGAUGACCCUGACUCAGACCUCAUUCCUCCUGGGUCCUCCCAACAUGAGGCCCAUUUUACAAGUGAGUUCACUGCCUUAAAUAAGAUGCCACAGCCCCAUGGUACCAAAGUUGGUCCAUCUGAUUCCAGGCCCUGUUUCCCCAGGACUCUUUUCCCUCCUGGUCACUCACUGAUCCUUGACCUCAGACAUAGGCUCUGUUACUGUCUCCAUUUUGCAGAUGAAGAAACUGAGGCUCCAGAGGGAAAGAAUUUGCUCAAAGUUAUGCAGUAAGUGGUAAAGGUACUUCAGACCCAGAUCUGUCUGCUGUUGUGUAAAGGAGCAAACAGAUGCUCAGAGAAGGAACCUGCCAUGGUCACACAGUAAUUGGUGGCCAACCCGGCCAGGGGUUGCUCCACCUUCAUGUGACAGGCCAGCCAAGGACAGCUCUCUGCCUUUCCUUAGGCCCAUGAGUCCCAGUCAGAAGCCACAGAACAGCACAGAUCAGACACUGCCCUGAGUUGACAUUGUUUCCCGACAAUCCUGAACAGUCCUCUUAGAGCCCCUUAGUGCCCAGUAGCAAUGAUCAAGCCAGACCCGGUCUGUGCACAUGGAGCAGGCGGGAGACCCACGCUCAGGUAGGCAGUGACUCAGAGAUGACACAGUGGGUACUCAGAGGAGAGGUCCUCGCCCAACAAGUAUUUACUGAGCACCUACCAUGUGCUACAUUCUGUCUAGGUGCUGGGACAGGAACCAAAUAUAUAGGAAAUGCUGCCCUUAAGGGGCUUGCAUGUUAGUGGGAAAGAGAAAUAAAACAAAAUACAUUUAAAAAACUAUAUAGCAUGUUAAAUUUAAGCCCACAAGUAGAUACUAUUACAUGACCACCAUAAUGGCUAAAAUUUUAAAAACUGGCAAUACCAAAUAUCAACAAGAAAGCAGAGCAACUGGAACUCCCAUAUAUUGUUGAUAGGAAUCUAAAAUGGAACAUUAGUUUCAGGUGUACAACAUAAUGAUUCAAUAUUUGUAUAUUGUGAAGUGAUCACCACAAUAAGUCUAGUUAACAUCUGCCAUACAUAGUUACAAAAUUUUUUUUGUCAUGAGAACUUUAAGGUGUACUCUUUUAGGAACUUUCAAAUAUAGACUACAGUAUUAUUAACCAUAGUCACCAUGCUGUACAUUAUAUGCCCAUGACUUUUAUAUGUUUAUUUUAUAACUGGAAGUUUGUAUCUUUGGGCACUCAUUUCACCAUGCCAUACCCCCAACCCCACCUCCAAUCUGUUCUGUUUUCUGUCUCUAUGAGCUUGUUUUUUUGUUCUAUUUGCUUGGUUUGUUGUGUGUGGGUUUGUUGUGGUGGUGGUGGGUUUUUUUUUUUUUUUUUUUUUUGCCGUACUGCAUGACUUGCAGGAUCUUAGUUCCCCUGCCAAGGAUUGAACCCGGGCCAUUGGCAGUGAGAAUGGGGAGUCCUAACCACUGGCUGCCAGGGAAUUCCCUUAUUUGCUUGUUUUUUAGAUACCACACAUAAGUGAGAUUAUGGUCCAUCCAUGUCUCAAAUGACAAGAUUUCCUUCCUUUUUAUGUCUGAAUAAUAAUAUUCCAUUGUAUAUAUAUGCUACAUUUUCUUCAUCUGUUCCUCUAUUGAUGGACACUUAGGUUGUAUCCAUAUCUUGGCUAUUGUAAAUAAUGCUACAAUGAACAUAAGGGGGUACAUAUAUCUUUUCAAGAUGGUGAUUUCAUUUCCUUUGGAUAAAGGAAAUACGUUAUCCAAAGUAUACUCAGAAGUGGAAUUGCUGGAUCAUAUGAUAGUUCUAUUUUUAAUUUUUUGAGGAGCCUCCAUGCUGUUUUCCAUAGUUGUUGGGACCAAUUUACAUUCCCACCAAUAGUGCACAAGGGUUCCCUUUUCUCCACAUCCUCACCAACACUUAUUUCUUGUCUUGAGAACAGCCAUUCUAACAGGUGUGAGGUGCUAUCUCAUUGUUUUCAAUUUGCAUUUCCCUGAUGAUUAGUGAUAUGGAGCACCUUUCAUGUACCUGUGUCUUUUUUGGAAAAAAUGUCUACUCAGAUCCUCUGCCCGUUUUUUUAAUUGGAUUGGUUUUUGCUAUUGAGUCAUAUAAGUUAUUUAUAUAUUUUGGAUAUUAACCCCUUAUCAGUUACAGGAUUGGCAGAAAUUUUCUCCUAUUUGGUGGAUUGUCUUUUCAUUUUGUUGAUGCACAGAAGCUUUUAAGUUUGAUGUAGUCCCAGUUGUUUAUUUUUGCUUCUGUUGCCUUUGCGUUUGGUGUCAAUUCCAAAAAAUCAUUGCCAAGACUGAUGUCAAGGAGCUUAUCAUCUAUGUUGUCUUCUAAGGGUUUUCUGGUUUCAGGUUUUACAUUCAAGUCUUUAAUCUAUGUUGAGUUGAUUUUUGUGUAUAGUGUAAGACAGUGGUCCAGUGUCAUUCUUUUGCGUGUGGCUGUCCAGUUUUCCCACGAAGAGACUGUUCUUUCCCCAUUGUGUAUUCUUGGCUUCUUUGUAGAUAAAUUGACCAGAUAUGCAUGGGUUUAUUUCCGGGCUCUCUAUUCUGUUCCACUGAUCUAUGUGUCUUUUUAUGUCAAUAUAAUAUUGUUUUAUAAUAGCUUUGUAAUAUAGUUUGAAAUCAGGGAGUGUAAUGCCUCCAGCUUUGUUCUUCUUUCUCAAGACUCCUUUGGCUAUUCAGGGUCUUUUGUGAUUCCAUACAAACCUUAUGUUAUUUUAUUUUUUAUUAUUUUUUAAAAUAAAUUUAUUUAUUUUUGGCUGCAUUGGGUCUUCGUUGCUGUGCGCGGGCUUUCUCUAGUUGUGGCGAGUGGGAGCUACUCUUCCUUGCAGUGCGUGGGCUUCUCAUUGCAGUGGCUUCUCUUGUUGCAGAGCACAGGCUCUAGGAGCACGGGCUUCAGUAGUUGUGGCACGUGGGCUCAGUAGUUGUGGUGCAUGGACUUAGUUGCUCCACAGCAUGUGGGAUCUUCCAAGACUAGGGCUCGAACCUGUGUCCCCUGCAUUGGCAGGAGGAUUCUUAACCACUGUGCCACCAGGGAAGACCCCCAUACAAAUUUUACAAUUGUUUGUUCUAUUUCUGUGAAAAAGGCCAUUGGAAUUUUAAUAGGGCUUGCACUGAACCUGUAGAUUGCUUUGGGUAGUAUGGACAUUUUAACAAUAUUAAUUCUUCCAAUCCAAAUGAGCACAGAAUAUCUUUCCAUUUAUUUAUGUCUACUUCAAGUUUUUUCAUUAGUGUCUUCUAAUUUUCAGUGUGCAGAUCUUUCACCUCCUUAGUUAAAUUUAUUCCUAGGUAAUUCAUUCAUUUUGAUGCAAUUUUAAAUGGAAUUGUUUUCUUAAUUUCUCUUUCUCAUAAUUUGUUAUUAGUGUAUAGGAAUGCAACAGAUUUUUAUAUAUUGAUUUUGUAUCCUGCAACUUUACUGAAUUUGUUUAUUAGUUCUAACAGUUUUUUUGGUUAAGUCUUUAGUGUUUUCUAUGUAUAAUAUGAUGUCAUCUGCAAAUAGUGACAGUUUUACUUCUUCUUUUCCCAUUUUGGAUAUCUUUUAUUUCUUUUUCUUGUCGAAUUGCUCUGGCUAUGACUUCCAAUACUAUGUUGAAUAAAUGUGAUGACAGUGGA
rnacentral:lncRNA from 1 species